rnacentral:rRNA from 1 species
AUCAUGGCUCAGGAUGAACGCUGGCGGCGUGCCUAACACAUGCAAGUCGAACGAAGCACUUCGAUUUCCUCGGAAUGAAAAAGUGACUGAGUGGCGGACGGGUGAGUAACGCGUGGGUAACCUGCCUCAUACAGGGGGAUAACAGUUAGAAAUGACUGCUAAUACCGCAUAAGCGCACAGUAUCGCAUGAUACCGUGUGAAAAACUCCGGUGGUAUGAGAUGGACCCGCGUCUGAUUAGCUAGUUGGUGAGGUAACGGCUCACCAAGGCAACGAUCAGUAGCCGGCCUGAGAGGGUGAACGGCCACAUUGGGACUGAGACACGGCCCAAACUCCUACGGGAGGCAGCAGUGGGGAAUAUUGCACAAUGGGGGAAACCCUGAUGCAGCGACGCCGCGUGAGCGAUGAAGUAUUUCGGUAUGUAAAGCUCUAUCAGCAGGGAAGAAAAUGACGGUACCUGACUAAGAAGCACCGGCUAAAUACGUG